CAGUCGCCGCGGGAAUACGUAGGGUGCAAGCGUUAAUCGGAAUUACUGGGCGUAAAGCGUGCGCAGGCGGUUUUGUAAGACAGAGGUGAAAUCCCCGGGCUCAACCUGGGAACUGCCUUUGUGACUGUAUAGCUAGAGUACGGCAGAGGGGGAUGGAAUUCCGCGUGUAGCAGUGAAAUGCGUAGAUAUGCGGAGGAACACCGAUGGCGAAGGCAAUCCCCUGGGCCUGUACUGACGCUCAUGCACGAAAGCGUGGGGAGCAAACAGGAUUAGAUACCCCUGUAGUCCCUGUCUCUUAUAC
rnacentral:rRNA from 1 species